CCCCCCUGGUUGGAUCCCCAGGCAACUCCUGGGAGGAAGUGCCCUCCCCCACCAUUGACUGCCCCUCCUCUCAGUGAGACCUGACAGCUGUCCCCAAUAUAUUAAUUAGAACAGUGUAACACCGUGGGGUGCACAGUGUCUUGACUCUCACCCUUCCGAACUCCAGGUCCCUCCUGGCCAAGCUGACUCAGACCCUGAACCUGGCCUCUGAACUCCAGCCUGGGGGAUUACGUCAUGACCGAGUGGAGCGCUGCUUCUCUCUCCAAGCCUCUUGCACCAUCCUCCUUCUCCCUAGAAGUGCUCUCGGGACCACAGAGGGUGUAAGUAUUCCCUCCCUUUGCCCCCAGGUCUCCUCCAAACCCAGUGUACCCUGCAGAGUCAUCUGGCGCCCCUCCAGCUCCUCCCUGGCCUCCCUGUCUCUUGCCUGGGCUAUCCCUCUGGCCUCCUAAGGGGUCUCUGGCCUCCUGACACAUCAGUUCAUCCUCCCUAAUACCACCAGCAGGAUCUUUCUAGAACAUGCCCCUAAGAACCAUCAGGAGCUCAGUGUGCUGUAUGAAGAUCUUCUGUGUCAGCACCAGCCCACCAUUCCAACGUUAUCUUCC
rnacentral:lncRNA from 10 species